rnacentral:rRNA from 1 species
CAGUCGCCGCGGUAAUACGAAGGGGGCUAGCGUUGCUCAGAAUGACUGGGCGUAAAGGGCGCGUAGGCGGUUUUGACAGUCAGAUGUGAAAUUCCUGGGCUUAACCUGGGGGCUGCAUUUGAGACGUCAAGACUAGAGUGUGAGAGAGGGUUGUGGAAUUCCCAGUGUAGAGGUGAAAUUCGUAGAUAUUGGGAAGAACGCCGGCGGCGAAGGCGGCAACCUGGCUCAUUACUGACGCUGAGGCGCGAAAGCGUGGGGAGCAAACAGGAUUAGAUACCCCCGUAGUCCCUGUCUCUUAUAC